UAUGACCACAUCAUGUUGAAACAUUGGUUCCCAUAUGAUCACCAAAGUUAAGCAAUGACAAACCUGGUCAGUACCUGGGUGGGUGGCUGAUUGGGAGUACCAGGUGCUGUAAG